rnacentral:rRNA from 1 species
UGCAAGUCGAACGGUAAGGCCCUUCGGGGUACACGAGUGGCGAACGGGUGAGUAACACGUGGGUGAUCUGCCCUGCACUUCGGGAUAAGCCCGGGAAACUGGGUCUAAUACCGGAUAUGACCGCAACAUGCAUGUGUUGUGGUGGAAAGCUUUUGCGGUGUGGGAUGGGCCCGCGGCCUAUCAGCUUGUUGGUGGGGUAAUGGCCUACCAAGGCGACGACGGGUAGCCGGCCUGAGAGGGCGACCGGCCACACUGGGACUGAGACACGGCCCAGACUCCUACGGGAGGCAGCAGUGGGGAAUAUUGCACAAUGGGCGCAAGCCUGAUGCAGCGACGCCGCGUGAGGGAUGACGGCCUUCGGGUUGUAAACCUCUUUCAGCAGGGACGAAGCGCAAGUGACGGUACCUGCAGAAGAAGCACCGGCCAACUACGUGCCAGCAGCCGCGGUAAUACGUAGGGUGCAAGCGUUGUCCGGAAUUACUGGGCGUAAAGAGCUCGUAGGCGGUUUGUCGCGUCGUCUGUGAAAACCAGCAGCUCAACUGUUGGCUUGCAGGCGAUACGGGCAGACUUGAGUAUUUCAGGGGAGACUGGAAUUCCUGGUGUAGCGGUGAAAUGCGCAGAUAUCAGGAGGAACACCGGUGGCGAAGGCGGGUCUCUGGGAAAUAACUGACGCUGAGGAGCGAAAGCGUGGGUAGCGAACAGGAUUAGAUACCCUGGUAGUCCACGCCGUAAACGGUGGGCGCUAGGUGUGGGUUUCCUUCCACGGGA